UCCUCUUCUCCCUCCUCCCAG
rnacentral:miRNA from 1 species